rnacentral:rRNA from 1 species
CCUACGGGCGGCAGCAGUGAGGAAUAUUGGUCAAUGGACGAGAGUCUGAACCAGCCAAGUAGCGUGAAGGAUGACUGCCCUAUGGGUUGUAAACUUCUUUUAUAUGGGAAUAAAAUGUUCCAUGUGUGGGCUUUUGUAUGUACCUUAUGAAUAAGGAUCGGCUAACUCCGUGCCAGCAGCCGCGGUAAUACGGAGGAUGCGAGCGUUAUCCGGAUUUAUUGGGUUUAAAGGGUGCGUAGGCGGAUUGUUAAGUCAGCGGUAAAAGGCCGGGGCUCAACCCAGGCGAGCCGUUGAAACUGGCAGUCUUGAGAGGACGAGAGGUAGGCGGAAUUCGCAGUGUAGCGGUGAAAUGCUUAGAUAUUGCGCAGAACUCCGAUUGCGAAGGCAGCAUACCGGAGGGGAUCUGACGCUGAGGCACGAAAGCGUGGGUAUCGAACAGGAUUAGAUACCCUUGUAGUC